rnacentral:lncRNA from 1 species
CCAGUACCACGGAGUGUGACCAGGAUGACCCUGGUAAAUCAGCCAGAGAGUUUUCAGUUGUCAAAGCAGAAGAGAAGCCAGGUGGCAUCAGUGUAACCUGGACUUUGCAGGGCCUGGUGAUGAUAUCUCAGGUAGGAGCCAUUUGCUACCCCUCCAGCUGUUGCCCCCCUCCCCCUUGCCUUCGUGUCUUUCCAGAUGUUAGAGAAAUUCCUGCUCUUGGUGGGCAGCCAGGGAGUCACAAAGGCCUGGUUUGAACCUCAGAUCCCAGCUCUGCCACUUACCAUCUGGGUAACUUGGACAAGUGUCAUCAACCUCUUGGACCUUGUUUUUUGGUUUUGUUUGUUUGUUUGUUUGUUUGUUUUCCCUCUCUUCUCUAAAAUGCAGGUAAAUGAUCAUAACCAACUCCUCGGUAACAUCCGAUGAUGCCAUGCACAUAAAAGGCCUGGCCACGGGCUUAGAAUAGGGCCCACGUACAGUUAACCUAGUUCCCUUCCCUCUACACCUUAUGAAGCCCCAUCUCCCACUCUUGUUUAGUAAUGGGAUACUUGAGAUUUGCAGGGAAGGGGUGGGAUGGGAACCUCCCAGGAUCUCCCUGUUCUGGUCUCUGGCCCUGAUGCCAUCCAUGCAUGAGAAUUGGGCACAUCUGAUCACUGCUCAGCCUCAAGAGAAGGAUAGAUGGACAGACUACCAAUAUGUUACACUUCACUCAUGCCAAGGGUUCACCCUACUCUGCACUGCCUGCUUCUUUGACAUACCCAUAUGCAAGGAAUUAAGAAAAAAACCAAACAGAAUGGGCAGGAAAAAGCAACAGCCAGAGGCCAAAGUGAACAAGGAAAGUGUGGCAAAUUGUUCCCCAGCUCACCUAUGAGGGACUGAAUUGGCAUAUCAAAGCCACUCGGGCUCCUAAAGCACAAAUACUGAGGCGAGCUGGGGUCCAGCAGCCCAGGAGCCUCACGGCAUCAUCCACUCAGAUAUGAAGGGCAUAAAGGGCCCACCCUCUCACAGUUUGGGACCAAUCAGUGUCUCACCUGUUCCAGCCCUCAGAAUAAUCGGUGUUCAGCAGGAUUAACAGCAAGUGCACACUCUGCAUAAAUCACAGGAGAUAAAAUAUCUUAUCAGGGUCCCUUAGUUGCUGAUGAGAGGCAACGAAGGGUAUUUGGAAUCCCUGCUGUGCCGCGCUUGGUCAUCUUUCCGAAAUUCCUGAAUUUGCUGGCCAACACCUCUGUCCACAACCGAUUUCUGGAAAAGUGAGGGACCUGGUUGCAUCACCUAUGAUAUUAGAGUAAAUAAAAGCAAUCAAGAUUAUGUUCAUGGAGCCAGUGGAUAAAACACUUGCACUCAGAUCCUGGGGAAUCCUGGAUAUAUGCCAAGGUUCCAUUUCAUUUGUAAAAUUUGCUGAUUUGUUCGUUCACUUAAAGAUUUCUAGAACCGGGCACUGUGCUAGGCACCUGAUAUACCAAGAUUCAUCCACGUAUUCAACAAACACUUGAGUGCCUGUUAUUUGCCGGGCACUGUUCUCGGUAUCAGAGACACGGUGCUAAACAAAACAGUCUCUAUCCUCAGUGACAAGUGAACCAUAGAAAUGCAUGGAAAGUUGAUGGUGACACACUGGUGGCAUUUAGUGCUGUGAAAAGAAAUAAAGCAGGUAGGAGAGGAGGGCUUAAUGGAGGAGGUUCUCUCGGACAGUGAUUACGGGGGACCUCUCUGAGGUGGGGACAUUUGAGCAGGGACCACAAGGAAGUAAGGGAGCAAGCCACGUAUAUACCCAGGGGAAGAGCUUUCCUGGCAGAGGGGAGAUGAUUCAAAAGUCCCAGGGAGAGAACAGCUUGGCAUGUUCGAGAAGACGCAAAGAGGCAAAUGGAGCUGGAGUGAACAAGGGGGAGGGUGGUACAGGUGAAAUUAGAGAGAAAGGGCCAGCCAGCCAAGGACUUUGGGUUUUUUCUAAGUGUGAAGGGAAGCCAGCAGGCCUGCAGGCUUGUGGUAGAGGAGUGGCAUGUGGUUGUUUACAUUGUUAUAAAGGAUCAUUGGCUGCUUCGUGGCAGGUCCCCUGUUGGACGGCAGUCUGGCAACAUGGAUCCAGUCAGGUGCUGUCACGCGGAACAGGUGGGAGAAGGUGGCGGUUUAGCUAGAGUGAUUGGGGGCAAGGGGUGAGCAGCGGUCAGAUUUGGGAGAUAUUUAAAGAAUGACGGUAAGAUUCAGUCCCUGCUCUCAAGGAAUUCACAGGAAAAUCAAGAGAGAAUGAAAGCCACUAUAAUGUAAUGGGAAACAGGCAAUAAGGGAAAGACAGGCUGGGUUGAGCAGCACCUUCAGGGGGGUUGGGGAAGGCGUUGGAGAAGGUGACAUUUGAGCCGUGUUUGGAGAAGUGAAAUUCCACCAGAUGUAAAAGGAAGGUCAUUGCAGGCAGGGGGAACAGCUUACGUGAAGCCUUGGGAGCAUGAGGCUGCACGGUGUGUUUUGGAAUCAUUCGGCGGGUGGGGGGGGAGGGUGGUGGACGAGGAAGAUAGCCCAGAAAAGUGGUUGGAACAAGACUGGGAAGGAAUUUGAAUGUGACAUCAUUCAGGAGCAAGUCCUUUAUUCUAUCAACAGUAGAGAGGCCUGGAAGGUUUUACAAGUAGGUACCAGACACAGGCAGAACUGUGUUCUGAUGCAUUAUGGUGUAGACUGGAAGGACCUUAGGAAAUGCGGUUCAUUCAUUUCACAAAAAUGAGCAAGUGCCCACCGUGUACACUAUGCAUCAGGAAGAGAGCAGUAAACAAAUGACCAUCCUGCCUUUCUUUAUGGAUUUUAGGUCUGGUGGGGAGGUAAUAAGAACUAAAUGUAGCGGGGCACCUGGGUGGCUCAGUCGGUUGAGCAUCCAACUUCAGCUCAGGUCAUGAUCUCAUAGUUUGUGGGUUUGAGACCCACAUCGGGCUCUGUACUGACAGCUCAGAGCCUGGAGCCUGCUUUGUUUGCUUUCUGUCUCUCUCUCUCUCUCUCUCUCUCUCUCUCUCUCUCUCUGCCAUUCCCUGCUCACACUCUGUCUCUCUCUCAAAUAAACAUAAAAAUAAAAGAGGACUAAAUGCAGAGGCUGGGUCAGAUUCAGGAAAUAUUUCAGAAGUACCAUCAUAAAGACAGGGAAAGUUCUGCAUGUGGAAAAUGAGAAUGGCUUGCCUUUCUGAUUGUGAGAUAUAAUGGGAAUAUAGUUACUGCAAAGGAUCCUGCCAUGUAGAAAUAAUUUUUAAAUAAUCCAUAUGGAUUAUAUAUAUACAUAUAUACCCUUUAUAGCUUUAAGAGCAUUCCCACAUAAAAUUUCUCACUUGCCCUUAAGUGUUUUACAGAUUGUAAUUAUUAAAUAAUUAUAUGUUGUAAUAUCAUUUGACUCUAUAACCCUUGGCCAAAGUUCUGCAAAAGGAUAGCUGCUUUGGAGCACUGGAAAAACAUCCUAGCAUACGAGGGCAGUUAAAUAGAGAUAAUACGUCCGAGACCACGGCACCAGUCUAGAGAGAAAAGUGUGUGUAGCUGUCUGUAUGUCUUAAUUUCUAAGAAAAUCCAUUCAGAAGGAGUCAGGCAGGGUGAAAGACAAAAUUCUUUUCUUUUUUUAGUUUUUUAACGUUUAUUUAUUUCUGAGAGAGCACGAGGAGGGAGGGGCAGAGAGAGAGAGACACACAGAAUCUGAAGCAGUCUCUAGGCUCUGAGCUGUCAGCACAGAGCCCAAUGUGGGGCUCGAACUCACGAACUGUGAGAUCAUGACCUGAGCUCAAGUCGGUCGCUUAACCGACUGAGCCACCCAGGCGCCCCAGGGCAAAAUUCUUAAAAAUGUACCUGGGUCUCUCAUUUAACACCUGUCACUCUGAUAACGUCAUGUCCCUGUAGCAAACUCCUCUAAAAAAACUGUACUUUCCUGACCAGGACGGUGUGUCAUAUUUAGAGUCUAGAAAAAGGCUGUGGAGCCUUUGCACAGUGGUGCUUAAAUUAAUUCUCCAUGACGUUUCCCAUCUAGCUCACUCCUUUCUGCUGUUUUCAGAAUCAGAUUCCGCACUUAAUCUCUCCCUUGUUUUCAGAUGACAAAAUCUCUCUGUUAGGUUUCAGAAAGCUGGGAUUACAAAAUGUUCUUAUGGGUUUAAGUCCUCUGUGGUGAUUGGAGAACUCAGGAAAGGAUUGGAUGAGAUUUUGGUUUUUGGGUUUUUGGUUUUUUUUUUUUUUUGGUGGGGAAGGGGCAGUCAGUGGACUGAAUAGGGGAUUCCUUUGUGGAAAUCUGCCUUUGGACCCAAAUGUUCAUCACUUAAGAGGAUUCCAAGAUUUUUAAAAUAAAAUGAAAAGAGAUGUGGGUUACAGGCAUAUAUGCAUGUGCCAAAACCGCACUGUGCAUGGAAGACUGCUCCGUGUACACAUUAUAACUCAAUAAAAAGACAAAUCAGACAAGCAAGACAGGCAGAGCAAAAAUAAUACCGACAAAUAGAGCCAACUACUGGACUGUCUUAGGGAUGUGAGUUAUGAUUUUUCAAAAUAAUAGCAGCUAAACUCAGUCAGUAAGAGCCUCUGACGUGAGGCCAAGGUUGUCACGAGCUGAUUCCUAUGUAGGCCAUUUGCUCGCCACGGUUUUGUGGGGGCAGUUGGUACCACUCAUCCUACCAGCAAGUUCUGUAUUUGUUUCCUGGUUUCAAGGGCAAAGGAGAGAGAAAGUAUAGAGCAGGGAAAUUCGGUCCCCUAUGGAUGACUGGUGAGGAGUUACCAUCUUUUUUGUUAGUAUUAUUGAAGUACAGUUACACCCUAUGUUACAGUAGUUUCAGGUGUACAACGUAGGGAUUUGACAACUCUAUACGUUAUGCGGAGCUCAUCACCCGUGUAGCUGCCAUCUGUCACCAGACAAUGUCAUUACAGUACCAUUGUACUGUAUUCCCUGUGCUGUGACUUAAUUCAUUCCACAACUGGUUACCAUCUUCUUCUAAGAACAGCAUAUCGGAUCUCCAAAUGUUAGAACAUAACAUCACCAUCAGUCUCAUUCAGAAUGCUCCUCGCUUUCCUUCUUUUUUUUUUUUUUAAUGUUUGAGAGAGAGAGAGAGAGAGAGAGUGAGCGCGAGUUGGGGAGGGAAACACAGAAUGUGAAACAGGCUCCAGCCUCUGAGCUGUCAGCACAGAGCCUGACGCGGGGCUCGAACCCACAGACCGUUGGAUCAUGACCUGAGCUGAAGUCGGACGCUCAACCGACUGAGCCACCCAGGCGCCCCUCACUUUCCUUCCUUAAUCCAGAGCAGUUCUUAGCCUCUCUGAGAUCUUGAUUGGAAGCAGGAGUGAUCACUCCGCACUCCCACCCUCAAUGCCUUACUCCUUUAAUACAAUACCACACACCCCUAUACUCAAUUGGUGGAGAUAUAUACCAUCAGUAUACAACACACUGGAAGUUACCAUUACAUCCAUGCAGUUUCCAUUAGCUGAAAUGCAACCCGUGUUCGGGUGACCUAACAACACUCCAGCCACAUGGCCUCCUUUAUUAUCUGUCUCUCCCACUAGACUGUAUGUUCCAUGAAAGCAGAGACAGGCCUGAUUUCGUCACUCCGGGAUAUCCAGCACUUAGCACAGGAACUGCCACAUUACAGGUGUUCACCUAAUACUUAGUGAAGGAGUAACAAAUCAAAAGAAGCAAAGCAUUGCUGUUUUUAUAGAGAUGAGUCUCCUGUGCUUGGACUCAGCGGAGGGGGUGGAAAUGGAAUUGAAAGAUGAUUCUGCAUGGUUUGGUUUUCCCUUUCAGACAGAUCAUUUCUGUUGUUCGUAUAUAGAACCUGGGUCCUGAGUGACCAGCCAGCACAAAAGUACAUGUGACCUUUAAGGACCCGGCAUGUUUUUGCCACAGGCAGGAGGGUUCUAUGUUUUAAUUGCCUGGAGGUUUCAUCCAAAAUCAGAGUCGGCCAACAGUGCAGUCUGUGAGCAGGGCGGUUACAUCUGUGGCACUUGGAAUUGUGCCCGGUCCCACACCGAGCAGACCUCCCCGGACCGCAAGGUUGGAAACAAUGUGGGUUCAGCAAAGAAAGCUCACCUUGCUGCGGGGAAUGGCCGGGCUACUCAUAAAAUUACCUGAAGUAAGACCCUCUCAACAGACUUAAGUAUGAGCAGAGGGAUGGGAGGCACUGGGAGCUCACAGAUGGAACUAUUUACCAACUCAUGUGGAAGUAUUUCGGUAUUUUAACAAUUGAAAGGCACCACCAGCACCCAUCAGCUGAUUUCUGGUCCUGAGCAUCAGCAGAACCAUCCCCACCGCAGGAUGUCUGAGAAGCCGCCUGCCUUCUCGGAAGCUGCCGUUUCCCAGUUUGCAGAUGAGAUGUACAGGCAACAUCUUUGCCCGGACAUCUAAACAUCGCGGUUCUGGCCGGCAGGACCUUGACGGGAGGCCCCUCGCCUUACAGAGUUCUGAGAUAAUUUUCCUUUAGCGAGGCUGACAUCACUGACCUAAAGGUGGGUUCUAGGCAACUGCCCUAUCUGGAGAACAAUCAUUCCUGCUGGUAAAUGAGUCACUGGGAGAGAGAGAAAUUGAGACACCUUAUGAAGCAGAGCUCUGCUCCCCCAGAACUGACACAGCCCCGUCCUGUCCCCGGGCUAUGUGUAACCCAGCAACAAAGAUGUAUACCGGGACCAGGCUGGAUGAGGAAGGUCUGGAGCUAAAACCCCAAAGACGCUCAGCCUUUAAUGGAGAAGGGCUUUUAGAAAAGAUCUGGCAAAUUCUCUGCCCUUUCAACUUCACUUUCUGUUCUCUUUUUAUCUGCUUUCAGCAUUUCCAAUUAAUCUUGGAAUGAGAGCCCAAGGCAAGAAGCCAGUGGUGCCUGAGGAAUGCUAAAGAGCAAACCGAUCCAGGGAAACAAAUGCCAGCAAGGGACCCCACAGCAAAGAGACAGACACUGUGAGCAUCUCUCCCGUUACCAUGAGGCUUGCGAGGCGUGUGCGCGGGUCUCCGCAUUGGCACCAUCUGCCAAUUCCUCAGGAGGACAGAACAAACCAGCGAGGCAUGAAGAUUAGAUUAUGUAACGCUUGAGGAUUGCUGUUUUCAAAGAGGAAACAAAUGGAACGAAUUGAUUUGCUUGUCAGAGUCAUGUCACUAAAGGAGACCCGUUCCCUCCUCCUCUGAGAGGACCUCAUUAAAGAGGGACACGAUUUCACAGAUUCA